CCACACAGCAUAGUACCCAAAGUCUUUCCCCAGACAUUACACCUGGUGCUGUUAGGCCCGAAUUAAAGUGGUUU
rfam:Loxodonta africana cont3.49941, whole genome shotgun sequence.